UAAGACGUAGGGGGCGAGCGUUGUCCGGAUUUACUGGGCGUAAAGAGCGCGUAGGCGGUCUGUUAAGUGUGAAGUGAAAUCUCCAGGGCUCAACCCGGAACCUGCUUCGCAUACUGGCAGACUAGAGGAAUGCAGAGGUAAGUGGAAUUCCUGGUGUAGCGGUGAAAUGCGUAGAUAUCAGGAGGAACACCCAUGGCGAAGGCAGCUUACUGGGCAUUAUCUGACGCUGAGGCGCGAAAGCGUGGGUAGCAAACAGGAUUAGAUACCCUGGUAGUCCACGCCCUAAACGAUGGAUACUAGGCGUAAGAGGUAUCUACCCCUCUUGUGCCGCAGCUAACGCACUAAGUAUCCCGCCUGGGGAGUACGGCCGCAAGGUUG
rnacentral:rRNA from 1 species